UGAAAGCUGAAUUGUCAUUGUUAUCUUCAUCAAGUAUGCAAGUGGACGCAACGCAAAGCUCGCAUUAUUCAGAGUUUGAUAAGUUUGUGUGGAAGGCUGAAAUUAUGAGUCUUGCUGAAAUAACCUCUCUGCAGCAUGAGACUAUAUGUGUUACUGUUGCGACUUUAGAAAAAUUUGAGGCUGGCCAGUCAGGGUGGUACUAUGAUGGAUGUGUCGAUUGCACAAAAAGUGUGUCUCUGAAGGAUGGUAAACUGAUUUGUUAUGCCAAACACAUAAGUGCUGAGCCGGUACCAAGGUAUAAACUCGAAAUUAUGGCUGUUGAUGGUAAAUAUAAGUCCAGGUUCAUUUUUUGGGACGGAGAUUGCGUCAGGUUGAUUGGAAAGUCUGCUCUUCAAAUGAAAAAUGAUUUAAUAGAGGUAUAUACCGACCAUCAACAAUAAAUAUUGCGAUAAUUCAGUAAGUAAUUCAAUUCAUUUCUUUAAUGUAGGCCGGUGAAGAUAAUCCGCUUGAAUUCCCUUAUGCACUUGAUGCAAUAUUAAAGAAGGAAUUGGCUAUUAGAGCUGUUUUUCAGCCUAACAAAGGGAGACUUUCUGUCAUUAGCUUCAAAACUGAUGAAGAUAUUCGUAAGAAAAUUAGGGCGAGUUUCAGCUCUGAAGAGCCCACGUCAAAGCUUCUAACACCAGAACCUUCGUCACAAGAUGAACCAAUAUGUGUUGAUGAACCUUUGUCCGCAUCCGCUGAUUAUGACCCAGCAGUUGGAAAUACAACCCUGACUCCAUCAAAGAGGACUUUAAAUGAUGCAGUAGAAGAUCUUGAGAGCAGCCAACUUUCCUCAACCAAGUUGAUUAAGGAUAUCAAAAAGGAAAAAUAAUAACCUACAACUUUAUGCUCAUGAACUUUUGUUAGUUUUAAAGAAA